UUCACCAUGGAUUCCGACGUAGAGCAGCUACAAUUUGUGAUUGAAAACUUCAAGAACACUAGAACACAGCCCUCCUUCCAGCGCCAAUGUUAAUGCCAGGAUCUACUGCCACGUCCCAAUCACGUAAGACGUUCUGAUCCUGCAUAGUAAACACGGUAAACACCACAAGCAUGACGGCGGUUCCGUCGGGGGAUAGCUCAGGCGUGAGAAUCAGUACAGGCGAUCACAAGGUUAACAAUGGAGGAAUAAAUAUCUAGUGACUUGAGAGCAAUAAUUUAUGAGUUACCUUUCACCGUGUGUCAUCCUUGCUUUAUAUCCCCAAAGUCCGGUUUGUCCUAUAUGCAACUGACUUUUCGGGCCCACAGCUUUCAGCCGACUAAGCCCUGUCCAAUCCUCAUUAAAUGCAAUGCAGAGAUGACAGUCAAAGUUCUAUCCCCAAUCUACACCGGUCACAGCCCAAGUGGAACCAUACUCAUCUAGUAAUUCGGCCCACUGCAUCCGGACCAAUAGGGCAAGAAUAAUCAUAACCCCAGGGAGGAGCCCAUUAAGUCUGGCCCAAUAAGGAAAAGGAUCAUGGCCCAACAGGACCCAAAUGAAAAAUGAAAGGUGGUCGAGUGUUUGUUGCUUCUUGGAGAACACUAAAUAAUGGUGGAAUUGUGGAGAUUUUGUCGUGCUUUGCAGUGAGGAAACCCAAACCCAACCCAACCGGGGAAAAUGAAAGGAAUGGAGAAUGUUGAAGACAGGCUUGCGUGAUCUCACCGACCCAAAUCCUCAGACUGAUUUCUCCUCGGCGAUGGCUCCUGCGUGAUCUCGCCGAUAGUAGACUCGUAUUCCAUCGGCGACUCAGACUGAUUUCUCCUCAGACUUUUAGGGUUUCGAUUUUGAUUUGGAAGAAGGAGUGGAGAGAGAAGGGAUGAAGGAAGAGAGAGGAGCACAUGUCAUUUCCUUUUUUUUUUCUUUUUUUUAGUACGUCCACGUCAGAUAAAUUUUUAACGGACGUGAGCAAGAUUUGACAAAAUGGCUCAAUUUAACAAUUUUAAUUAAUUCAAUUAGUUAAUUUAAAAAAUUAAAAGUUUAAAUGAGUAUUCAAUAAAAUGUGUCAAUUUCAGUGAACAAAUUAUUAGUUUUGCCAAAAAAAUUGUUAUAAAAACCACAACAAAAUAUUUUUCACUUAUAUGGUAUACUUUAAAAACGGGUAAGGAGUAUAAAACAUAUACAUAUAUAUAUGAAAACUUAUUCAAUGAUAGGCUCACCUAAGGAAUUAUAUCACAAUAAAAAAUAAAUAAUUGUAUGGACCUAAUUAUUAUUUCUAAUUGGAGUCCUAAUUAUUAACUUCAUAUAUUUUCAGAAGAGACGAUAACAAAUAUCAGUUCACAAACUUAAACAAUAAAAUACUCAUCAAAUUUCAUAACUUUAAAGAUAAAUUAUGUAAAAAGUAACAGUAAACGAUAGAGUGGUGGAGAGAGAGUCCGUAGUAGAUUGAAUGUGUAUAAAUAAAAUUUGGAAAGAAAAAAAAUAUAAAUAAAGAUUAAACACUUAAAACAUGUUUGAAAAAAAUAUUUUUUUUUACUAAAUGAGUGUUUGUAAAUUAAUAAAUUGAAAUUAACUACAUAUAUACUAGUUGAAAAUAAAAUAAAAAUCACCCGACUAUGUAGCGCUGUCAUUGGCAAUGAGUCAAUGACUUGAUGUUUAUCAGACUUUUUUUUUCGUUUCACAAAAACAAAAAGAGUCUCAUUUGUAAAUAAUUUUUAUUUCAUAAAAAGAUUGCUUUUUUUUUUAUGCAAUAUAAAAGACUAAAAGACAAAUUACACCCUAAACUUUACUCCGGUGUUGAUAUUUGCACCCCAAAGUGAAAAAGGUGACCGGUUAAGUGUGUAAAGUGUGCAAUCUGUUAUCAAUAAGUAAAGUAUGGAGUUUACUUAGACACCUUUUUCAUUUUGGGGUGCAAAUAUCAACACCGGAGUAAAGUUUAGAGUGCAAUUUGUCUUUUAGUCUUUUCUUGAAUUGUGUGCAUAAUCCAUUGAACUUGGUGCAAAUGCGAAAAUCAAAAGAGUAUGCAUACUGUUCGGGAGCAUUUUACCGACCCUCCUUUGGGCCGAAGAUUCAACACCAGAAGGGCUGGAGAGACCGAUGGGCCGAAGCCCAUGAAAGUGUCGGAGGUGUUCGGGUCGGAAUUCGAGCCUUCCGGGACCAUAGCUGAACCCGGUCUUGUGAUGUUCGGGGUCGGGUCUUUGAGUUCUUUGGGCCGAAGCCCAGAUUAGAUUAUAGGACCGUUUGGGCCUGCACAGUGGGCUCUCCUGCGUGCAGAGUCCGGGUACCUAUUCGUAUGCAUAUAAGGCAACUCCAAAGGUGGUAAUGAGAUUGGACUCUACUUGCACCUUUUAAGGAGAUUGUGUUGGACCCAAGUUAUGGUAACUACCAUACACUAGGAGUCCUAAUCCGACUGGGAGAAGGAUUCUAAGGUGGUGAGUACUAUAAAUAUGAGGCCUAGGUUAUCAUUAUGAGGUAAUACCUAUUUUUGAGCACUAAAUACUUAUCCUCCAUUGUUAAACCUUGUAACGGCCUGUACUCAUUCUCACACCGGAGCUAUCCCCCGGCGGCAUAAGCCGUCAAGCUUCUGUGUGAUCCGUUACUGUGCAGGUUCUAGCGCGUGGAUUCUGUGAUUGGACGCGCCGGCGAAACUUGGCGUUAACAUUGGCGCUAGAAGGAGGGGAGUGCUUAAAUAACAAUCACAAUCGAACCCUUUUCAGGCAAGAAACUAUGGCGAGUGUGGAGUAUGCAGUUUCCGACCGUGAAAAGGCCAAAACACACCAGACCACUCAGGUGAGAGGGUCGGUGAAAGACAGACUGGGCUCCAGAACCCAGGACGAUCAGAUGGAGCCGGCUGGCUCCCCCCGACGAAGACUCUUCCAUGAAAGCCAGCAUACCCGCAACCAGGCCAGUCGGAUGGACGAAGCCAAUUCGCGAGCGCUGGAGGCGCGGGAAAAGAGUCGUAGCCAGGGUAGUCGAGAUCAGAGAGAAUUCAUCCUGCAGAAAAAGAUGCAGCAAAACAAAGAUGCCAUAAUGACCCUACGUCUUCAGCAGGAAGAGCUCGAACUGCAGAUGGCUAACGUGCUCGGUGAGGAAGAGGCGUCCUCUAAGAGGCGCAGGCACCAUAGCCGGUCUCGGUCACCCCGAAGGGAAGGGGCUGAAAGGGAGAGAAGUAGGUAUCGAAGUCGUUCGAGGGAUGGCCGAAGCCGGAGAAGAAGCCGGUCAGCAGGACGACGUUCCGAGCACCCGGGUCGGUCUGGGCAGAGGAGGAAAGACGAGAUUCCCGAACGUGAGAAGGACAGACCCCAUUCGUCCCCUCACGAAGGAGAAUCCGACCCCCUCGCUCGAAGGGUUGCUGAAUUGGAGAAGCUGUUGUUGGUCAAGAGCCCGAUCGGAGCGCCCUCGACCUAUAUAGGGUCACCCUUCUCUCCGAAAAUUAAUCAGGAGAUAGCGGACCCCAAAAGGAAGAUGCCCCCGAUGGAGACUUAUGACGGGCUGGGGGACCCUUACGACCAUUCUGAUGGGUAUGACAGGUUGAUGACGUAUUAUGGCCACUCUGAUGCAGCCAAGUGCCACAUGUUUGCUACUACCCUGAAGAAAAGCGCCCGGGAAUGGAUGGGAACCUUGGCGUCGGGAUCGAUAAAUUCAUGGAAAGACCUUCGGGAAAAAUUUCAUGCACGGUUUGGGAGUAAUAAGAGACGGGGGAAGAUCACAGCAUCCCUCAUGCAGGUCAGGCAGAGAUCAGAUGAGAGCCUGGGGCAGUAUGUUAAGAGAUUUCGGGAGGCUGUGGGGUCGGUGGUGGAGCUGAAUUCCCCACAAGCUUUGGGAUUCUUCACAACGGGGCUUGACAUCGGAAAAUCAAAGAAGCUGAUGAAGGACCUGGUGAUCAACCCCCCGGCCGACCUGACAGAGGCCUUCCAUAGGGCCGAAGAUCACAUAGCAAUCGAGGAAGCGAUGGGGAAUUUCAAACCUCAAUCCCACGAGAAGUACCGAGAUCGGGACAAACAGAGCUAUCAGAAGUCUGACAAUCAGGGGAGGUCGGAUAGCUACAAGAAAAACUACAACGGGGGGGGGCGGGCGGUGGAAGGCCACCCUUCCCAAAUAAAGGGGUCAACAAGGUGUACACCGCACUCAAUACAGAUCGGGCCAAGAUACUGGAAGAGAUGCGAAGCAAGCCCUUUUUCGAACCAUGUCAAACGAUCCCGAAGCCAGGGAAGAGGGGUCGGAACAAGUAUUGUGCGUACCACCAGAGUCGGGGUCACACGACAGAAGAUUGCACCAACUUGAAAGACUUAAUAGAAAAGAAUGUCCAGAACGGGAAGUUGGUACAGUACGUAGUUGGCCGAGAAGGGUCGGAAGCCCCAGGAGAGGACAACAGCGAGCCCACCCGACAAGCACAGCCGCAACCGAACCCACAAGCUCGAGGAGUUAUUGAUGUGAUAUCAGGCGGGUCUGUAGGGCGUGUGACUGGCAGGAAAAGGAAUGGGCAUCUCGAAGCCGUACUAUCAUUGGCUGGGUCCUCGCCCAGAAAGGACAGGCCAUAUUCAGGCACGACCAUCUCCUUCUCAGACGACGACUACCCUACAGAACAGAUCGAACCGCAUGACGGGGCACUGGUAAUAACGGCUCAGGUCGGGCCAGUGGACAUGAAGAGGAUGAUGAUCGACAACGGGUCUUCGGUUGAUAUACUCUACACACAUGCAUACCAACGGAUGAAUCUGGGAGGAAAGAAGAUGGAAUUAGGAGGAGAGGGCCCGUUAUACGGCUUCAGUGGCGACCCGGUUCAUGUGACGGGCACAAUCACGUUACCAGUCAAGUUCGGUACGGCCCCACAGCAGACAGAAAUCAUGGUAAAAAUUUUUGUCGUACAAGUGGAUUCGGCUUACAACGCCAUUUUGGGAAGGCCUACCUUAGCGGCACUGCAAGCGGUAACAUCUAUACCCCACUUCAAAAUCAAGUUUCCGACACCGAACGGGAUAGGGGAGGUAAACGGAGAUCUCGACAUCGCCCGAAGAUGUUAUCGGAAUACCUUGAUUUCUUCAGGAGUCGGGGUCAGUAAGCAGAAACAGACGAUGACCAUCGAGAUCGAGCCGUUCACGGAAGGCAGUACUGAACCCAUGGCUCUACCAGCAGAAGAAACAGAGGAUGUUGAGUUGGUACCGGGAAAUCCAGACAAACUGGUCAAGAUCGGGGCGGGAUUAUCCGAACAGCUGCGAACGGGUCUGGUGGAAUUACUUCGGGUGUAUGCCGACAUCUUCGCCUGGGAACCUAGCGACAUGCCCGGAGUAAGUGAAUCAAUCGCAUUACAUAGACUUCAUACCGACCCGAAGAGGAAGCCAGUGAUACAGAAAAGAAGGAUCUUUGCCCCGGAAAGACAGAAGAUUAUAGACGAAGAGGUUACCAAAUUGUUAGAGGCAGGGUUCAUCUUUGAAAUUGACUAUCCCGAAUGGCUGGCGAAUGUGGUAUUGGUACAGAAGCAAAAUGGGAAGUGGAGGAUGUGCAUUGACUACACAGACCUGAACAAGGCCUGCCCAAAAGACUUCUACCCCUUACCCAACAUAGACCAGCUAAUUGAUGCCACUUCGGGGUAUGGAAUGCUGAGUUUCAUGGACGCUUUCUCAGGAUAUCACCAAAUCUCGAUGCACAAGGAGGAUACCCCGAAGACUAGCUUCAUCACUCAUCGGGCUAUAUAUGCAUAUCGGAAGAUGACCUUCGGACUACUAAACGCAGGAGCAACCUACCAACGAAUGAUGAACUUCGUGUUCCGAAAGCAGCUGGGGCGAAGUAUGGAAGUGUAUGUGGACGACAUGAUCGUCAAGAGCAUGUCAGUCCGGGAUCAUCUGGAGGACUUAGAAGACUGCUUCGAAACGGUGAGGCAACACAAACUGAGACUAAACCCGACCAAAUGCACCUUCGGAUUGGGUUCAGGAAAAUUCCUAGGAUAUCUGGUCAGUAAACGGGGAAUCGAGGCCAAUCCAGAAAAAAUCUCGGCGAUCUUAGACAUGAAAUCUCCAAAGACAUAUAAAGAUGUCCAACGGAUGACGGGCCGAAUUGCUGCCCUUCGGAGAUUCAUGUCAAGGUCAGCUGAGAGAUGUCUACCCUUUUUUGACACUCUCAAAGGCCCGAAAAAUGACAAGAGUUUCCAGUGGACUUCAGAAUGCGAAGACGCGUUCCAGGAGAUCAAAAGAUAUUUGGGUUCGGCACCAUUAUUAAUGAAACCGAUCCCCACAGAACCUUUAUACUUAUACUUGGCUGCGAGCCCAAUGGCAGUAGGGGCGGCACUAGUAAGGGAUGAGGGAGAUAAGCAAUUCCCGGUGUACUAUGUCAGCCAUGUUCUCCGAGACGCAGAAACGAGAUACCCGAACCUGGAAAAAUUCGCUUACGCCCUCAUAAUUGCUAGCAGGAAACUCAGGCACUAUUUCCAGGGUCGGUUGAUAGUGGUCUACACCGACCAACCUUUGAAGAAGAUUUUGCACAAGCCUGAAGUAUCAGGUCGGUUAGCCGCUUGGGCAAUGGAACUGACACAAUUUGUUAUAGAAUAUCGCCCCCGAACGGCAAUCAAAGGGCAGACAUUGGCUGACUUCGUGGUUGAGUGCUCUUUCACCGAACCAGAGGCGAAUAUAGUAGCCGACACACAACCAAUCCAGACCUCAUGGACUCUAUACGUGGACGGAUCGUCAACUAUGGAUGUCAGUGGAGCAGGGGUCAUCCUAACUAGCCCCGAAGGGUUCAAGGUGCAGCAAGCUAUUCGGUUUGGGUUCAAGGCCACAAAUAACGAAGCAGAGUAUGAGGCCAUCUUAGCAGGGAUACGACUGGACCGAAGCCUAGAGGUCCAGCUGUUGAUCAUCUACAGUGAUUCACAGCUGGUGGUCAAGCAGUUAUCGGGCGAAUACGAAGCCCGGGGGGCAAGAAUGACCAAAUAUUUGGUUGAGCUAAAGGAUAAACUUAUGUACUUCACUUCAUACAGUUGUCAGGGGGUGGACCGGUCAGAGAAUACGGUAGCAGAUGCCUUGGCAAGGCUGGCAACAACUGAAGCAAGCUCUUUCAAUGGAUUAGUGUACUUGGAAGUUCUGGAAAAACCGAGUGUCCCAAAAACAGAAAUCUUGGCUUUAGACCGCCUCAACUGCUGGCUCACACCUUAUAUCUCCUACUUGGCCGAUGGGACCCUCCCUUCGGACCGAAUCCUAGCCAAACAAGUCAAACACCGAAGUUCUAACUUCACCCUCAUAGAUGGAGAUCUAUACCGAAGGGCCUUUAGCUCUCCACUGCUCAAAUGAUUGACUCCUUCAGAGGCAGACUACACGCUUCGGGAGAUGCAUGAGGGCAUCUGUGGGGAUCACAUGGGAGCAAAGUCACUGGCGCAUAAGAUUUUGAGGCAGGGGUAUUACUGGCCAACUAUCUACACUGAAGCAAAGGAAUUCGUUAGGAGGUGUCCCAAGUGCCAGCUGAACAGCAAUAUCCCGCACCAACCCCCCGAGGAACUAUAUUCCGUCUUGUCCCCGAUCCCCUUUGCUGUGUGGGGAAUCGACAUUCUGGGGCCUCUGCCAAAGGCUAAGGGACAAGUUAGCUUUGUGAUCGUGGCUAUUGAUUACAUGACGAAGUGGGUCGAAGCCAAACCACUGCAAAAGAUCACCGAACAGGAGUGUUUGAAGUUUUUUAAAGAAGGGGUAGUCUACCGGUUCGGUAUCCCGAUGGCAGUGGUCUCGGACAAUGGCAGACAGUUUGUGGGAUCUAAGUUUGAAGGCUUUUUGAAAGAAUUAGGGAUCCAGCAUCGCAAGACUUCGGUUGCCCAUCCUCAGUCAAACGGCCAAGUGGAAGUGACCAAUCGAACCCUACUCAAUGGGAUUAAACGCAGAUUAGAUGCAUUAAAGGGUCGGUGGCCCGAAGAACUGCUAUCUGUUUUGUGGGCGUAUCGAACUACCCCAAGGACUACAACUGGAGACUCCCCAUUCAGGUUGGCAUACGGGACCGAUGCACUCAUUCCUGUUGAGAUCGGAUCUCCAACUCUUCGAGUCAGCCAAUACAAAGAGCUAUAUAAUGACGAGGGUUUGAGAACAAAUUUAGAUUUGUUAGAUGAAGUUCGGGAUUCAGCCAUGAUGAGGUUGGCGAUCUAUCAGCAGCGAACAGCCCGACACUAUAAUCAGAAGGUGAAGACAAGGAGGUUUGCAAUAGGAGAUUUGGUCCUCCGGGAGUCGGAGGCAUCAACCCCCCAAAACACUGGCAAGCUAAUGCCCAACUGGGAGGGGCCUUAUGAGGUGGUAGGAGUGCCGAAGCCAGGAACCUACCGGCUUCGAGCAAUGGACGGUUCGGAGGUAAAGAAUACAUGGCAUGCUGGAAGACUUAGAAAAUUUUACCAGUAAUAGUUAUGUCGUUCUUAUUUUUAUCCAUGUAAUCGUUUCAAUUCAAAUGAUAUAAAUGAAAGUUCCCAUUCCUGUCAAUGUUUAACUUCAUCUAUAUUCAUAUAUUUCGUUACUACUUGAACAGACAUGCUUCGGGCACUAUCCGAUCAAGAGCUUCGGAAAAACUCCAUGAUCGAGAUAAGUCCCGAGCAUAACUGACCAAGAGUUUAAUAAAUGCUUAAAGUACAGAUCUCGAGCACUAUCCGAUCAAGAGGUUCGGGCAGACACCACUGAUCGAGAUAAGUCUCGGGUAUAACUGUUGACCCUCUACAAUCAGAUAAACCCUAAAGACGAUCCGACCAGAAGGUUCGGGUGGACAUAACUGAUCGAGAUCAGUCAUAAGUGAAACUGACAAUAAACAUUCAUGGGCAAAGAGUAUAUCUUAUUUAUACUUAGAAAAUUUCUACUUUACAAACCCGGUCGCUUACGAUUCGGGCUAAGUACAAAAAAAAAACGAAGAAAGAAAAUUUUCUUUAUUACAAAAUCCUACAUAUCUACUCGGCAGGAGGGUCAUCUUCAGCAACAGACUCGUCAUCCGAAGAGUCAAGGAUGGAGACAUCGAGCCCAGCAGCCAGCAACUUUGCCUUAGCCUUUUCCCGAUGCGUCUCAUACCCUUCACCAAACUGGGCUAUGACCUUAUCGUUCAAGGCUUCCGAUUCCUCAUACUCGGUGAUGGCUUGCUGACUGGCUUCGAUUACCUUCUCGGGAAAGGCAUUGACAGUAGCAGUCAAGUUGUUGUUCUCCUUGAUCAAAAACAUCAUCUUGUCGUGCAUCUCGGAGAACUUGUGUGUAAUACUGUCAAUAGCGUUCUCCCGAUCCUUGACAUCUUGGAGCAGACGACCCCUCUCUGCCAGAAGAGCACUGUGCUCAUGCUCCAGCUCUUCGACCCGGCCCUCCGCUCGGGCCGCCUGGCGUCGGGUCUCAGCAUGAGAAUCCCGUUCCUUCUUCAGGUCCGACUGCAGACCCCGAACUUCAGCCUCCAGCAACUCCACCUCCGUCCCAAGCUGAACUUCUUUCUUUGUGGAUCGGGCGAGGGGAGGGAUGGCUCGGGCAAGUAUAGCGUUGGCCUGCAGUAAACACACACAUCAGUACAAGAAGGAAAGGUCAAAGUUAAGAGCAGCAAUCAGAUUGACAAAGGGAAUUACCUGGGUCUGAGCUCGAACAUAGGCCACCAAGAACUGAUCGGGAGAGUACCCUUUAAACCGGUCAUCGUCACCAGGUAGUUUGAAGUGAUCGAAGAGGGUAAAGGGGAAGACCUCCGACGGGCUCUUGGGCCAACAGGUGGUCGGUGAUCCCCGAGAAGAGCUGGGACCGGAAGAAGGAGUGGCGGAACGGUCCAGACCGGGGACCACCAUCUCACCUGUCGGCUGAUCGGAACCUUCCGACAACCGAGGUCUCUUUGAUUGAGGUUCAGGAAGAACCUCUUCGGUGUCUUCCGAGUCCUCGAUCGCCUCGGUUGACGGAGGGGGCGGCGGAAGAGUCGGCUUCGGCAGCGAAGGCGGAGCGACUUUUGUAGGCGCUUUAAUGGUCGGCUUGGAGGGCUUCUUGGACUUUUUUAGUAAAGCCGCCUUCUCCGCGCGGCUCAUCUUCAGCGCCCCCCUUUGUGUGGUCGGGGGCUCGGGCCCCGAAGUGGACCCCAGCGACAGUUCGCUGAUCGGGACCGUAUCCUCCUCAGGAACAUCGUCGGUCACCGGGGGUCGGAUGAACCCGGGGGUGACGGUGGCAGGGAUGAAGGCGUCGACAACGCCCUCGGGCUUGAAAAUAGUCACUGCACAGGGACAAAUGGGUUAAGGCAUGGAAAGCUUCAGAAAAUAGGAGGAAAAAUAAUGAAAAACAGAAAGAUACUCACAGCCAUGUUUGUACAACCAGGCUUCGUUCAUCAGAAGCCCCAGAUUCCAUUGGGUCCUUUGCCAUUGCUUGUAGAACGUUUUGAAGGCAUCGGCUCGGCCCUUCGGGAACUUCGAAAUCUUAGCCGCCUGAUCGGCUGGAUGGGCCCAGGGGGGAAGGAGUUGGAGGUCGGUCCCCUUGGCAAAAAAUCACUGUUCAUGCCACCCCUUGUUGCUUGAAGGGGUCUUAAUCGGGACGGUGCGGUUGGGGCGUUUGUUGAGUUGUCGAAGACCGGGCUCUUUCGAACCACUAACGGUGAACAGGGCAAAGAAUACAUCGAGCCCGGGACUAAGGCCCACCUCCUGGCAGACGGCUAUGAAAGAGAUUAAGUGGAUGUACGCGUUCGGCACGAGCUGCGCGAACCCGACUCCCACAAAGCUCAAGAAAGAGGAAAUGAAAUCGUGAAGGGGGAACCGAACCCCGUACUUUAAAACGUACAGGGGGACGGUCACCCACUCGCCCUCGGGACGCCAAAACAUCUUCUCAUCAGGCAUAGGCACCCGAAGUUGGUAUUCUUCAGGGAUCUUAAAAAGGGUCCGGAUGUCAGAAAUUUGUGAGGGGGUGAUGGUGGAAGGAGUGUGAAGGUGAGAAAACUCCUCCGAGGAACAGUAUGCAUUUCGAAUCCUAGCCUCGGCGUCAACCGAACUAGGCAGGAUCGAAAGAAUGUCGUCGGCAGGGGCAUCCUGCAGUACGACCUCUAGAAGGUCGCCGGUGGUGACGGCGGAGGUAGUGGUGAUAGGCUCAGUGGCCGGAAUAGUACUGGAUUUGGCCAUUUAGAAAGAAUGUGAUGCAAAUAAGAAGUUAUGGAAGGGAGUUAAGCAAAAAUAGCACUCAAGUGACAGUACAGGGGAGGAAAAUGGUGCAGAUUGGGUAAGAGAUAAGCUCGCCGGAAAUCGCCUUGCCGGAGAAUUUGAAAGCAAAGAGUCAGUAAAAGUGAUAAUGAGGGGGGAAGGGGAGUUUUUAUAAGGAGUACGGCACGGAACCCCAAGGCGGCUAUUAAAUACUGGAGGUGGGCCCAGGCGUGAAAAGGCGUGCAACGUUUCAAAUACCCAGAAGUGACUGUACGGCUUCCACAGACAGUUCAUCAUUAGCUGUCAUGACCGUUCAAGUCCUGACCUUUCAAGUCUCCAAUCAUAAAUAUGUUAUGAUUAGAGACUGGGGGGCAAUGUUCGGGAGCGUUUUACCGACCCUCCUUUGGGCCGAAGAUUCAACACCAGAAGGGUUGGAGAGACCGAUGGGCCGAAGCCCAUGAAAGUGUCGGAGGUGUUCGGGUCGGCAUUCGAGCCUUCCGGGACCAUAGCUGAACCCGGUCUUGUGAUGUUCGGGGUCGGGUCUUUGAGUUCUUUGGGCCGAAGCCCAGAUUAGAUUAUAGGACCGUUUGGGCCUGCACAGUGGGCUCUCCUGCGUGCAGAGUCCGGGCACCUAUUCAUAUGCAUAUAAGGCAACUCCAAAGGUGGUAAUGAGAUUGGACUCUACUUGCACCUUUUAAGGAGAUUGUGUUGGACCCAAGUUAUGGUAACUACCAUACACUAGGAGUCCUAAUCCGACUGGGAGAAGGAUUCUAAGGUGGUGAGUACUAUAAAUAUGAGGCCUAGGUUAUCAUUAUGAGGUAAUACCUAUUUUAAGCACUAAAUACUUAUCCUCCAUUGUUAAACCUUGUAACGGCCUGUACUCAUUCUCACACCGGAGCUAUCCCCCGGCGGCACAAGCCGUCAAGCUUCUGUGUGAUCCGUUACUGUGCAGGUUCUAGCCCGUGGAUUCUGUGAUUGGACGCGCCGACAAAAUUUGGCGUUAACACAUACAGUUCAAAAAAAUAUUCUCUUGAACUGUGUGCUUAGCAUGUGUCCUAAGAACACAUGUUAAGAGGACCCAUAAAUUUAUUACGCCUAGGAUGUUUACAAACUCAUCUUUCUUAUGUCCUUAAUUAGCCCAUCUAGACCAGAAUAAGAUGAUCCACCUUCACAAACACUUUGUCUAGCCAAUUUGGCCAUCACAUUGGCAGAUUCCUGAAAUUCAUCUU
rnacentral:lncRNA from 1 species